rnacentral:lncRNA from 1 species
CUCUGCAACUCCCACAGGACCUCUCAAGAUAAAGCUUACUAAGGUCACAGAGGAGUCCUCUGGCACAGAUCCGAGUCCACAAGAGAUCACCUGCACUCAGAACAUCUAAGCAUUUCCAUGGGAUACUUUCCUGGAGGAUCUCCUACUUGAUCUACCUUGGUUUGUUCUCCACCCUUGUCCAGCACUACAG